CAGUAAAAAAAUAUAUUUAUAUCUUUUUUUAUCUUCUAGCCAACUUGGCUGGUGAGUCAGGAAUUAGAUUUUGGUCUCUGGGGUUGUGACUUCAAACUUGGAGCAUUAAACUACAUGCAGCAAAAUCAGUUUGAAGGCUGUUACUAUCAAAAGUGUUCCGCUGAAUGACUGUAUUGUUUUUCUUUAUUAGAUGCUUAAAUUAGCGGUAGCUCAUAAAACACCUGCUGCAUUGUUCUAUAAACAAUUUUACAGUCUCUAUUUAGUUGCACUUCAUCUUCAAGCAAAUGUCUAAACAACGUGAAAAUAAAAUUAUUUUUGUUAAAAACAUUCUUUUGUUUGUAACCUUUGUUAAAGAAAGUAAAAGGAUGGAGGAAAAAAAUGAUUACAAUUGAAAAUCAAAUUUGGAAUGAAAAAAAUCAGAGAUUAGAUUUUAUUGGCCAUAUCGCUUGGCUGUACAUUCUUGUGGUCUAAUUUGUGUCCAAGCAGAAAAUAGGAACAAUUAUUGCAAACAAAUAAAUACACAAAUAUUAAUGUAAAACAAGUUUUAUAAAUUUAGAAUAUUUAACAAUGAUGACCAGUGGGCUUAAUUUCAGCUGAAAUACGUCUUCCACAAAUUGUUUAUGCUAUUUUUUUUUUUUAUUUUUUAUUUUUUGCUAAUUAUAGUUCCUGUUUACAUUGCAAUCUUCCCCACUUCAUAAUUUUUAGUCAUGUUCUAAUUUCAAAAGCUUAUACUGCAUUACAAAGAAUUACAAAAAUUACUGUACUAAACAAAUGAUAUUUACUUGACAUACUUCAAAGAUUGCCAUCCUGGAAGUCUUUUAUCACUGGACCACUUUAUAUUUUCUAUUUGAGAAUGUCUUUUCUAUUUUCCUCUUCACCAUCCCUCUGUUGUUCCUUUCCUUGUCUGAAAUGACAAUGGUUACAUUAACAGAAAAACAUAUAUACAAAAAAAAU